AAGUAAAGAGUUUUUUUUUGUUUUCUAUACAUAAGUAUGUGAAAGAGACGCCAGAUUAUUUUGUUUUAGUCAACGGAGAAGAUGGAGUCUGGCAGAAGGGAAUUCUCAAUCUUGAUCGCAUACGCUUUUGUCCUCUGUUCAAUCCUCUUGGGUGCCUUCGCUCAGGAACCUGAACUUGGAUCGGCCCGUGUAGUUUUCCAGACAGACUAUGGAGAUAUUGAAUUUGGUUUCUACCCAUCUGUUGCCCCCAAGACCGUCGACCACAUCUUCAAGCUCGUUCGCCUUGGAGGUUAUAACACCAACCAUUUCUUCCGGGUUGAUAAUGGUUUUGUGGCCCAAGUUGCUGAUGUUGCUGGUGGGAGAUCAGCUCCCAUGAAUGAUAAGCAAAGGGAGGAAGCUGAGAAAACUGUGAUUGGAGAAUUCAGUCGCGUCAAACAUGUGCGAGGCAUUCUUUCUAUGGGAAGGUAUUCUGAUCCAGAUAGUGCAGCUUCAUCAUUCUCAAUACUUUUAGGAGAUGCCCCCCAUCUUGAUGGAGAGUAUGCAAUAUUUGGAAAAGUUACCAAAGGCGAUGAAACAUUGAGAAAGCUCGAGGAGGUCCCUACUCGUCGUGAAGGAAUAUUUGUCAUGCCUAAGGAGCGGAUCACCAUUCACUCCACUUACUAUUAUGAUAUGAAGGAGGAAACUUGUGAAGCCGAAAACUCUGCUUUGAGAAGGCGGCUUGCUGCUUCUGCGGUUGAAAUUGAAACUCAGAGAAUGAAAUGCUUCUCGUAGCACAAACAAUCAACCGAUAAAGAACAAGUGCUUCCUUUUAUAAUUGUUGAUCAGAUUUAUAUUUGCAUGGAAAAAACCCGAGACGACUGGAAGGGAGCCUGUUCUCCCUUCUAAUUUGGAUUGUUUUAUUUAUGAUUCUUAUUUGAUGACUAAUGAGUGCAGUUGUAAUGAAAGGAAAAAUAACUGACAUAUUCUAGGAUUGAACUUCAAGUUAAGAGCUUUGUUUCUGGUGUAAAA